rnacentral:rRNA from 1 species
ACGGGAGGCAGCAGUGAGGAAUCUUCCACAAUGGGCGAAAGCCUGAUGGAGCAACGCCGCGUGAAGGAUGAAGGCCUUCGGGUUGUAAACUUCUUUUAUGAGUGAAGAAUAUGACGGUAACUCAUGAAUAAGCACCGGCUAACUACGUGCCAGCAGCCGCGGUCAUACGUAGGGUGCAAGCAUUAUCCGGAGUGACUGGGCGUAAAGAGUUGCGUAGGCGGUAAGUCAAGUGAAUAGUGAAACCUGGUGGCUCAACCAUACAGACUAUUAUUCAAACUGGCUUACUCGAGAAUGGUAGAGGUAACUGGAAUUUCUUGUGUAGGAGUGAAAUCCGUAGAUAUAAGAAGGAACACCAAUGGCGUAGGCAGGUUACUGGGCCAUUUCUGACGCUAAGGCACGAAAGCGUGGGGAGCGAACCGGAUUAGAUACCCGGGUAGUCCACGCCGUAAACGAUGGAUACUAGCUGUUGGAGGUAUCGACCCCUUCAGUAGCGAAGCUAACGCGUUAAGUAUCCCGCCUGUGGAGUACGGCCGCAAGGCUAAAA